AUUGAACGCUGGCGGCAUGCUUUACACAUGCAAGUCGAACGGCCGCGCGGGCUUCGGCCUCGUCGCGAGUGGCGAACGGGUGGGUAAUUCAUCGGAACGUGCCCUGCAUAUGGGGAUAGGCUGGCGAAAGCCGGAUUAAUACCGCAUACGACCUGAGGGUGAAAGCGGGGGACCGAUAGGCCUCGCGCUAUUGGAGCUGCCGAUGUCGGGUUAGCUAGCUGGUGGGGUAAAGGCUUACCAAGGCGACGAUCCGUAGCUGGUCUGAGAGGCCGACCAGCCACACUGGGACUGAGACACGGCCCAGACUCCUACGGGAGGCAGCAGUGGGGAAUUUUGGACAAUGGGGGCAACCCUGAUGCAGCCAUGCCGCGUGCGGGAAGAAGGCCUUCGGGUUGUAAACCGCUUUUGUUCGGGAAGAAAACCUCUGGGCUAAUACCCCGGGGGGAUGACGGUACCGGAAGAAUAAGCACCGGCUAACUACGUG
rnacentral:rRNA from 1 species